CCGCCCCUCCAUCUCCGGCGAGGUGCGCCAUCCCCUCCUUCAGUUCCCCCUUCGAGUGAAGCUCCACGCCACCACCAUCGUCACGCCAUUCCAGCCACUAGCACGCACAUGUUGUUCUCCUCGUGAUGACCAACAUGAACUUCCUGAAGUAGUUCCCUUUUUUGCUUUUUUGUAUAAUUAAUCUAGGUCUUGGGGCGGCAGGAUCUUGAUUUAUUUUUUGCUUGGCUCAUUGCUUGAAAUAUUAGCCGUAUGAGUGAGAAAAUAAGGGCCCUUUGCAUUUGUUUGGCGUGUAUUGGUUUAUUCAGUUUUCGCUUUGCAAGAAAAGAGCUUUGUUUUCUCUCGUAUCUAAAUUUUUAGAUGCUACUAUUAGGUGUACUAUUAGUACUCUCGUUUAUUGUUGCUAGCUAUGUGCUUUCAGGAACUCUCCGAGAAUUAAUAAACUCUUUGCUUUUGUCACAAAUCUCGGCCUUGUUGUCUCCUCUGCCUGUUCUCUGCUUUACAGCGUCUCAAUAGCCAUGGAGAAACCUGAAGAUGCAGUUCGAGAAAAGGAAGGGCUAAAGAGGGUAAGGCGUCAUGGACUAGUGGUAAAACAAGCUUUCUUGUACCAAUGAUGAAGGAGUGUGGAUGCAACAAAAUUCUGUGGUCAAAAUUGAUGGACAAAGGAGUUGCAGCACACAAAGCAAAACCUAUCUCAGGUACCUCUCACACUAAGGUCCAGAGGGACUGACAGCGCCAGGGAGAGCAGCACAACAACGAUGACGAAGGCCAGAACGUACAGGCAGCGCUCCGACAAGAGGCCGUGCUUGCCGCCGGCCUCCUUUGCAUCUUCUUCCACGAGUGUUUCUAGUAGGGCUCGAUGUUUAUUAAAAAAGAGUAAGACAUUUACACUUUACUUCAGGAAGACAUUUGUAAGUCAAAAAACAUGAACUUUUCUUCAACAACGAUGUAAUGCCUGAGAACAAAGUUCUGCUAUGCCUGAGAAUAUAUGAAGUACGUGGCUGGUGUUUAUGCAAA